CAGCCGCCGCGGUAAUACGUAGGUGGCAAGCGUUGUCCGGAAUCAUUGGGCGUAAAGCGCGCGCAGGCGGUCCUUUAAGUCUGAUGUGAAAUCUUGCGGCUCAACCGCAAGCGGUCAUUGGAAACUGGGGGACUUGAGUGCAGGAGAGGAAAGCGGAAUUCCAUGUGUAGCGGUGAAAUGCGUAGAGAUAUGGAGGAACACCAGUGGCGAAGGCGGCUUUCUGGCCUGUAACUGACGCUGAGGCGCGAAAGCGUGGGGAGCAAACAGGAUGAGAUACCCGGGUAGUCCACGCCGUAAACGAUGAGUGCUAAGUGUUGGAGGGUUUCCGCCCUUCAGUGCUGCAGCUAACGCAUUAAGCACUCCGCCUGGGGAGUACGGUCGCAAGACUGAAACUUAAAGGAAUUGGCGGG
rnacentral:rRNA from 1 species